rnacentral:rRNA from 1 species
AGCGAACGCUGGCGGCAGGCUUAACACAUGCAAGUCGAGCGGGCCCUUCGGGGUCAGCGGCAGACGGGUGAGUAACACGUGGGAACGUACCCUUUGGUUCGGAAUAGCGCUGGGAAACUAGCGCUAAUACCGGAUACGCCCUUUUGGGGAAAGGCUUGCUGCCGAAGGAUCGGCCCGCGUCUGAUUAGCUAGUUGGUGGGGUAAUGGCCUACCAAGGCGACGAUCAGUAGCUGGUCUGAGAGGAUGAUCAGCCACACUGGGACUGAGACACGGCCCAGACUCCUACGGGAGGCAGCAGUGGGGAAUAUUGGACAAUGGGCGCAAGCCUGAUCCAGCCAUGCCGCGUGAGUGAUGAAGGCCUUAGGGUUGUAAAGCUCUUUUGUCCGGGACGAUAAUGACGGUACCGGAAGAAUAAGCCCCGGCUAACUUCGUG